rnacentral:rRNA from 1 species
GACGAACGCUGGCGGCGUGCUUAACACAUGCAAGUCGAACGGAAAGGCCCUGCUUUUGUGGGGUGCUCGAGUGGCGAACGGGUGAGUAACACGUGAGUAACCUGCCCUUGACUUUGGGAUAACUUCAGGAAACUGGGGCUAAUACCGGAUAGGAUCUCCUGCUGCAUGGUGGGGGUUGGAAAGUUUCGGCGGUUGGGGAUGGACUCGCGGCUUAUCAGCUUGUUGGUGGGGUAGUGGCUUACCAAGGCUUUGACGGGUAGCCGGCCUGAGAGGGUGACCGGACACAUUGGGACUGAGAGACGGCGCAGAAUCCUACGGGAGGCAGCAGUGGGGAAUAUUGCACAAUGGGCGGAAGCCUGAGGCAGAAACGCCGCGUGCGGGAUGACGGCUUUCGGGUUGUAAACAGCUUUCGACUGUGACGAAGAGUGAGUGACGGUAAUGGGUAAAGAAGCACCGGCUAACUACGUG